AACUCCUUUCUUAUCUCGUACCU
rnacentral:snRNA from 1 species